GUUCUUCAGAAGCUUGCUUCUAUCGAACCGUUUUAGAAACAUCAGUGGCCAACGGUCGUCAGGAUCGUUGAGCUGCAUUGGCGGGAUUUCGCCGUCUUCGUUUCUCUUUCUUCGCGGACGAACACGCGCUGGGGCUGCAACCUUGCAGAAUCCCUGGUCCUUGACUGGAUAUGCGUUAGGGGCUUGUAGCUCAGUUGGUUAGAGCGCGCGCUUGAUAAGCGUGAGGUCGGAAGUUCAAGUCUUCCCAGGCCCACCACACUCAUCGAGUGAGCAUUCGUCUUCUGGUUACGGGGCCAUAGCUCAGCUGGGAGAGCGCGUGCUUUGCAAGCAUGAGGUCGUCGGUUCGAUCCCGUCUGGCUCCACCAGAUGGUUUGAUCACCGACUACUCAUACCGUCGUCCGCGAAACAUCACUUCGCACUUACUAGUCCGGAUGGACAGUAAGCUGCGUGAUUUCUGACAUCGUAAAGAGGAGAUCGAUCCGAGUUGGAUCGGGCAACAAGUAAUUGUUGCGCGAUACUCCAUUAUCUCCGGAUCAUUUCGGCGCUCGUGCGUCUUCCAGGGUAGCUCACAAGGCUGCGUCUGAAGGACAAGCGAGUUGUAAAUGAUCCUUUUAGCGAAGCUUGACCGCCUCGCUAUCGGAACGAUCUUACGAAGCAAGCUGGUCUUUCUAAUCAUUGUCCGGCUGCAGAUAGCGUUCAUCGAGGGCGCGUGCCUUAGAGACUUAGGUUUCUUGGCAAUUCUGCAGACAACAUUCUGCCGAGUGUGUGGACAUUGAUAAUGAGAGCAAUCAAGUGCCUUAAGGGUGUUCGGUGUGCUGCGA
rnacentral:tRNA from 1 species